rnacentral:lncRNA from 1 species
UAUAUUGUACGGGCCCAAUUCUACCCUGACCUUAAACACAAAACACACAAUAAUAAACAAAAUUAAAACAAAAUCCGUAGCCCAAAUAAAAACACAACAGAGGCCCAAGAUGGCAAAACCCUAGCCCAAUUCAGCUCACAACCAGCAGCCUCAGUGUGCCGUACGUCUCCUCGUGCAUUUGCAGCGCACUCAACGGCCGAAGCACGACCAGUUUUGCACCAAAAAGGCUAGGUUUAUUCUUCCAAUACCCGUUGACUUCACCAGUACCUGCAAGCAAAGCAAAGAAAGGGGAACAACAGCAGCAACAGUAGCAAUAUUGGACAGAAAUGAUAAAAAUAAAAUAGGAAAUAGAUUUUUAGGAUUAUCUUUUGGCUAUAAAAGCCACCAAAAUCUGUAUUCAAAAAAAAAAAAGGGGAGCAGAUCAAAAAAAUUGAAAAGGUUGACUCCAAAUUUCUUUCGCUGUUCUUAAUAAUUUUUUUUAUAUAUUCUUCUAUUUUCUGUUUUUUUUACUACUCUUUGAAACUAAAAAAACAAAACGAAAAAGAAAGAAAAGGGACACUUACCGGUCUCGAAAGCCCGUCGCCGGAGACCAUCUUUGGUGUUGGAAUCGGACCGAGAAGGAGACGAAAGGUCUCUCCUUGUUUCGGCUUGUUUGGUCUGGAGGACCGGGCCUUAAGGUGGAGGUCGAGAACGGGGUUAAAAAGCCCUCCUUUUCUUGCUCCGACCACCACUCGUGAAGGAGCUUUGGCUUUUGGAACCGCCGCUUGCCGGCAUAGGCCAUGUUUGGCUGCUGGGAACCUUGAAAGGGAGAGGAUAGGUUCAGUUUUUUUCUUUAAAACACUGAUAAAAUGAAGUUAUAAUUUUUUUUUUGUUUUAAAUGGGGAUAAGUGAAACGGCGCCAUUUGGUGGGGGGAAUCUGUACAUGCUUUGCCUUAAUGGGUAAUUUAUGCAUUUAGUCCCUCCAUCUUGCGUGGAAGUGUAAUCCAACUUCCUAUUUCUUUUCGAUUUGGGCCGCAAACUUUAUUUCUGCUCCAAUCAGGUCCUUUGACCAUAUAUAGUCCUCUGUGCUGGAACAUUGCACUCUAGGACUGGGGUAUAUUGCCCAAUUAGUCCUUCUUUCUUUAAUGCUUUAGUUUUUUUAUUUACUUGUUAUUGUAUAUUCAUGAGUGAUUUGUUUUUUAUUUAUUAUUCAUUUUUGUGCUCAUAUUAUUUUUUUUAGUCGCGUUAUUUUAUUUAUUAUCCCAUCAUGCAUAUAAAUACCAUAUUUCAAAAAAAAAAAAAGAAUGUUUUAAAUUGAGGCAAUAUUUAGCAUUUGGAAAUUCGAGAAAACAUGCUCUAAGGUCCUGGGUGUCGAUUUUUCUCGUUCAAAUGGCUUAAUAUCCUUCAUAAAAAUUUCAAAAUAAGGUAAUAUUUUACGUUUGGAAAUUCGAGGAACGUGCCCUAAGGUGCUGGGUUUCGAUUUCUCGUUUAACCAAAUUGCCAAGUUUCCUCUUGAAUUUUAAUCCAUGCCAUUCGAGUUUUUUUUUAAGGAUUGUACUUUAAAUUUCUUUAAAGUUUUCAAUCUUCGACACUAAGACAUUAAGUAAUCAACUAGGUACCAAUUUUGGGCGUAUCGAGGGUGCUAAUCCUUCCUCGUGCGUAAUCGACUCCCGAACCCAUUUUCUGAGUUUCGUGGACCAAACUUGUUGUUUUAAUAAAAUCAAACCUUUUAUUAAAAACAACCACUUUUCGAGGUGAUCCAAUCACAUCUUAUAAAAAAAGAUUGGUGGCGACUCCCGUUUUCGUUUUCAUUUUCAAAAACCCAAGUCGACCCCGUUUUCCAUCCAAAAAAAAUGGUGUCAACAGCUUGGCGGCUCCACUGGGGACUUCAAAAAAUAAGAGAGUCAAGCCACGUGUUGAUCAUUUCUUGUGUUUUUGUCAAAAUUUGAAAAUGUGAUUUAAAUAUACGAUCCUCUCAUUGCAUUGGUUUUGAGUUAUAGUUUUCAUCACGUUUUGUAUUCUAAACUUUAGUAUCUUUCUGCACAUUGCAUUACAUGACCGUUGAUCACACCUUUUAAGUGGGAGUGAGAAGCUCUUUCCUUCGUGAGGUUUUCACCUUCGUGCAGGAUAGUGGAUCGCUUUCGGGAUAUAUCCGUACCUAUGUCUUCGUGAGAUUUUCAUCUCCGUGCAGCCAUAGGGAAAUGUGUUCCCCUGAACCGAACUCGGUCUAUAUGAGCCUAUAAUGGGUGAAGAUCGAGGAAUCUGCUGGUUCGGGUACCUUAUCUUUAGAACCAAACCACAUAUAGUGAACCCUAGGAACCCAGCCUAGAUAGAACUACUUCAAAUAGGUGCUUUAUUAUUUCUUGCUUGUCUCGGAUUUUUAAUUUUGAUACUAACUUAUUUUGUUUUGAUUGCAUGGCAUUUUAUCUGCAUGGCAUUUCAUUGUAAAAGGCGUUGAUUCACAUUCGAUUACUAGAUAGAAAAGCCAAUCAUGGAAAGUGAAUUUCUUAGCAAGGUGGAAGAUAAUGCGGUUAUCCGAAUAUGGUCAGAAAAGUCGCAACUCGAGAAAGGUGAUAGUCUAACAAUGGGGUUUGCAUCAGAGUUAUGGGUUUACACCAGCAUCAAUGUGACUCAGAACAAUCUUCAGGAGUUGAAAGAAAUUUGGGCUCAAUGGGAGGAUGAAGUCAAACAAUUGUUUUACUAUAAUUAUGGUGAUUUACCCUACUUGCUUGACAUCAAUGUAGAUGAACAUUUAUUUCGAGCUUUGGCCUAAUUUUGGAAUUCCGCAUAUAGCUGCUUCACAUUUGGGGAGGUAGACAUGGUGCCUACUGUGGAGGAGUAUACAACUUUACUUCGUUGUCCAAGAAUCCAAGUGGAUAAAGUUUAUUCUAGAACUGCUAAUGUUUCGACUUUUACAAAGAAGUUAACGAGAAUUACCGGAAUGAGUGAGCAAUGGGUCACCGCAUGAAUCAAACAAAAGGGAGAAAAUAGAUGUAUCCCUUGGAGAAGUUUGCGAGAUCAGAUUUUGGCACACCCGGAUAUGAAGAAAAAGGUUGAUGUUUUUGCUUUGAGUAUGUAUGGGCUGGUUAUUUUUCCUAAAGCGUUGGGGCAUAUAGACGAAGCUGUUACAGAUUUGUUUGAUCAACUUGAUAGGAGGGUCACACCCGUUCCAACAAUUUUGGCCGAAACGUUUAGGUCUUUAAGUGCAUGUCGAAGAACGGGGGAGGGAAGAUUCGUUGGUUGUGUACAACUUCUGUUGGUUUGGUUUCACAGCCACUUCUAGAAGGUGGAUAAGAUUUCUUAUCAAGUUUUCUCAGAAAAUUACUCGUCUUUGAAGGAAUUGGCAGCAACACCAAGACGUAAUGACAUCACGGAGGAAAAGUAGAUGACAAUCCUUCAUAAUCUACGAGACGAAGAUGUUGAAUAGAGAGCUUCUUGGAUGGUGCCCGAUGAGAUUUUGUACCGAUGUGGGGACUUUGACUGGGUCCCUUUGCUUGGAAUUUGGGGAGCUGUCGGAUAUGCCCCUUUUGCUCGUGUUAAGGCAAUAUAAGUCAAGGCAGUUCAUACCGGCAACGUAAGGGCUAGCCGAGUGUGAGUUUUCCUAUAAAGGUAAUAACUACAAGGGAAAGAUCCGAGAGAUGUCUAACGCUUGGAAACGAAUUCACCGGAUGAAAAGAAUUACCGUAGGAGCAACGACAACUCCCGAAUAUCACGGGUGGCGGAGUAAGAGGAUCGACGAUAACAUCCCAAAACCAAGAGAAGAAUGUGGUCGUCCUAUAGAAGAGCAUUUACGAAUAGUCCCUUCAGAACUAGAGAUCAUCAAGCAAGACCUCGAAAAAAAAAGUUCAGAGUUUGGAAAGAGGAUAGAACAGCUGAAAGAGGAAAAGAUGCGUUUGGGACUAGAUGUUGAUAUCCACAAGUUGGAAGCUGAAAAGUUAAGAAAAGGGAAAAAUAAGGCUGAAGAGGAUUUAGAUAGUUUAAAAACAGAUUAUAAGAGGCUACGAUUGUCAAUGCGAACUGUGGGUUUGGGGAAAACAUCGGAACAAUAGAAACAGGAGAUCGAGGAAGAAAGGACCAAAGCUGAUCAGUUGGAAAAGAAAUUUCAAGGUGCCCGAGCUCGAGAAAGCGCAUUGGAAAAAAGUUUAUUAGAAUUCUAAAAUGAAGAAGCAAGAUUGAAAGAUCGGGUAGCGGAGUUAGAAAGGUCGCUUCACUUGUGCCAUAGUCGCAACUCUGUGAUCGAGCUAAAAGCAAGUUUGAAUAACAUCGAAGAAUUGAAGAAAAAAAUAAGAGAACUUGAAGAUGCACUGCAAAACUCUGAAUCGCGAGAGGAACUUCUUGAAAGGCGUAACGAACAAUGCCAAGAGCAGCUCCUCCAUUCUCAAAAUCAGAUUAGAGAUAGGGAUUACGUGAUGGGUGAAGCUAUAUCUCAAAUUCGGGAAGGAGCUGAUCAUUUGCAAACUUUAGCAGUUUAGGCCGAUGUAUUGAGUUUGAAAUAUGAAUUGGAAUCAAGUCGGGGUCGAGAGUUAGCUUGGCUCCUUAGGAGAGUUAAGGCUUUGAGCAUAAAGGCAAAGCCGUAUAUGUAAUCCACUUUAUGUAAAAGAAAUUUGUUUUCUAGUUGAGUUUUUCUAAUGAAGUUGAAUUAGAAUCACUGCCUCUUUUUGCAUUCUUUUCAUGCAUUGCAUCACAUCAUAUGCAUUAAUGACCAUUAAAGAACCCUAAUUGAAUAAAAUUAUUUCAGUUAACCUGGAAAACCAACAAGGUUACGGCACUCGAGCUAAGUCAAAAAUUAUGGACCAAAGGCUGGAAAAGCUAGAACGACUUCAAAAGGAAAUGCAAGACCAGUUGCAGGCGCAAAUGAAGGAGCAGAUAGAAAAGAUUCAGCAUGACAUAGAACAAAAGAUGCGGGAGUCUCAAAACGAUCUGAUAACUAAGAUGACACAAUUAUUGAAGAGAGUAGAUAAGGGGAAAGGACCUGUGAUUGUUAAUGAGGAAGAAAACAAUAGCGAACCACUUUAUCCUCCAGGUUUCACGCCUCCGCACGCGCAGGUUCAAACUGAGCUGCAUCCACGAAGACCCUCUGUGUUGGUUAGGCCUCAGCAGUUCCAAGGCGAUGCUUCCAUACCAAUGAAUUUUCAACCCGGGGCGGGUUCUGAUCCUGGAGAUAGCCUGAAUAAUAUUGCUAUCCCAGAUCUUGACGAGAUGGCCGAAAAGGACAAGGCGAAGGAGGAGCUUCCAAAACAACUUGAGGAGAAAUGGAAAUGGAUAGAAGAGAAGUUUAGGGCAAUAGAAAGCAUUGAAAGCUAUCAUGGGAUAGACGCAAAAGACCUGAGCUUGGUUCCAGACUUGGUGCUACCUUACAAAUUUAGAAUGCCGGAAUUUGAGAAAUAUAACGGGACCAGUUGCCCAGAAGGCCAUAUUACUAUGUUUUGCAGAAGAAUGACGGGGUAUAUUAAUAAUGAUCAAUUAUUAAUACAUUGCUUUCAGGAAAGCCUUACAGGAGCGGUGUCAAAGUGGUAUAAUCAGCUGAGCAGAACAAAAAUUACUACUUGGAAAGAUUUGGCACAGGCUUUCAUGAGACAAUACGAUCAUGUCUCGGAAAUGAUGCCUGACAGGAUAACUCUGCAGAAUUUAGAAAAAAAAUCGAACGAAAGCUUCAGACAGUACGCGCAGAGGUGGAGAGAGGUGGCGGUUCAGGUACAACCACCGCUUUUAGAAAAAGAGAUGACGACACUUUUUAUUAAUACAUUGAAGGCCCCAUUCAUUACUCACAUGUUGGGAAGCGCUUCAAAGAAUUUCUCGGAUAUAAUCAUGAAUGGUGAAAUGAUUAAGCAUGCCAUUAAAAGUGGAAGAAUAGAUGGAGGGGAAAAUAAUAGAAGGGCAGCCCCCAGGAAAAGAGAAAAUGAAGUGAAUAAUGUGAAUGCCUACGGUAGGUCAAUUACUGUGAAUCAGCCAAAGAAAGCGGUUGCUAAUCAACCGGGAUCGUCAAGACAAGAAUCGAGAGCUAGGCAAACUACUGAAAAGCCCCAAUUCACGCCAAUCCCAAUGUCAUACAAGGAAAUUGUAUCAGACUUUAUUCAAUGCACAUGUUGUUGCUCCUCGUUACUUGAGUCCUCUACAACCCCCGUAUCCAAAAUGGUAUGACACGAAUGCACAAUGUGAUUAUCACGCGGGAAUUUCAGGGCACUCAAUAGAAAAUUAUACAACUUUCAAGAAAGUAGUGGAAGGACUUAUCAAAUUAGGUGUUGUUAAACUUGACGACUCACCUAACUCAAAAAAUCCGUUACCUAAUCACGCUGAUAAGGGGGUGAAUAUGGUGCGCGAAGGUACAAGAAGAGAAGUCAAGUCUGACAUUGCUGAAGUAAAAACUCCGUUGAAACGGGUCUGGAAAGAGAUGGCAAAGAGAGGGUUAGUUAUUUCAAAUUUUGAGGAAGGGUACGAGCUGGAAAAUUUUUGUGAAUUCCACCAUAAAACAGGGAACAAAAUCCAAGAAUGUGAAGGAUUCAGGGCUUUGGUUCAAAGCAUGAUGGAUAACAAAGAGAUGACGUUUUAUGAAGAGGCGGAAGAAAGGAGGAGCAUAUGCGCAACAAAGUCAGGAACAGGAACUCCGAAAAUAAAUCAUCCUGUGGUCGUUAUCUCACGCCCUAAGGGUAAUGAAACUAGGGCUCAGGUAACACCGAAAGUUGUAAUUCAAAAACCAUCAAAUUUCUUGUAUAAGGAUAGCAAAAUGGUGCCAUGGAAUUAUUGGUGCAAUGUGACCAUCUUGGAAAAAAAAGCGGAAGAAAGCCAGGAAAUAGGUUCUUACACACGCAAUAGGAAACGAUAUGACACUCAAGCAGAGUCAUCCAAGGAAGAGAAUUGGAAGAAAGAACAAAGGAAAAGAAAAGCAGCAGGAGUUGAGCCAUUGGUUAAUGAACCAAUAAAAGAAGAUGAGGCAAAAGAGUUUUUGAAGUUUCUGAAGCACAGUGAAUACAGUGUUGUGGAGCAACUGCACAAACAGCCAGCCCACAUUUCUGUAUUAGCUUUACUUCUAAGCUCAGAAAUACAUCGGAAUGCGCUUCUGAAGGUACUAAACGAAACAUAUGUGGCCGACGAUAUAUCGAUAAACAAGCUAGAUCGUUUGAUCAACAACAUAGGCGCUGACAAUUUUAUCUUCUUCAAUGAUGACGAAAUACUAUCCGGAGGAAGGGGUUCUACUAAAGCCCUGCACGUUACUCCGAUGCAAAGGAUACACACUCCCAGGAGCCCUGGUUGAUAAUGGAUCUGCACUGAAUGUAUUGCCUCUAUCCACUCUUGGUCGAUUACCGGUGGACAGUUCGCACAUGAAAGCAUGCCAGAGUAUAGUAAGGGCAUUUGAUGGAACGGAAAAGAAGGUUAUGGGGUGAAUUGAGGUACCGUUAAGGAUUGGCCCAAUCACUUAUGAUGUGGACUUCUUGGUAAUGGAUAUUAGGCCUUCCUACAAAUGUUUAUUGGGAAGACCGUGGAUACACUCAUCGGGGGCAGUACCUUCAUCAUUACAUCAGAAGGUGAAGUUGGUAUCGGAGGGUCGGUUGGUAACAAUAGAUGCAGAUGAAGAUAUUAUCGCAAUGAUGACCAGUGAUGCACCUUAUGUGGACAUCAACGAUGAUGCACUGGAAUGUUCUUUUCGGUCGUUAGAAUUUGUGAACGCGAUGUUUAUUGCGGAGGGAAGCAGAAUUCCAAUAUCAAAAAUAUCCAGGACCACCGAAAUGGGGUUGCGAAAUAAUGGUAGGAAGAGGAGCCGCACCAGGGAAAGGACUGGGAAAAUAUCUUCAGGGAAGGAUUGGAGCUCCAAUGUUGAAGGAAAAGUUCGAUAGUUUUGGCUUAGGAUACAAGCCAGACAUGAAGCAGAAAAAGAAAGAAAUAGAGAAGAGACAAGAGAAAAGAAGGGCACGUUUGAGCGGAUAUGAAGCUAAGUGGGAGCCUUUAACCUUUCCCCACAUAUCUACAUCCUUUGUGUCGGGAGGAUUUAUUCAUUCUGAGUGCGGAGUGUCCGGUAGCAAAGGCAUUGAAAGAAUGUUGGAAAAUGUUCAUAUCAACACUGUGGAAGCAGUAGAAAAAAGGGCCUUGUUGGAGAUCCGCCCUUAUGAGCCGGGGAGCGAGCUAAACAAUUGGACUGCUGAAGAAAUCCCUGUAGUCUUUAGGGCUUAUUCAGAGUAAUGCUCAAAACAUUCCUGUUGUUUUGGCCUAGGAACGAUAUGAAAUCUUUUGUGAAAUAGGCUUUGGGCCUAAAUAUCAUCAUUUUAAUGAAAUACAUAUCUACAUUCAUCUCGAUCAGUCACUUUUUUCCUUUACAUAUAAAUAAAUACUUUCCAUUUGAUUAAUUGUCUUAUAAAUAAUUCUUUCAUUUGUAACUCUUUUGCACAAAUAUUCAUUCAUAAAUUUAUAUAUUCUUGGUAUACUCUUUGGUAUGCCUUCAUAGGUCUUCAGAUAUCAACGACAUAAGUGAUGCUGCUUCAAACACGGAGCCUAUUUUUGAGCAAGAAAUGUGUUUGGAGGGAUCUCACGACUUUGAAAAUGACGAAGAUUAUGGUGUGUCUCCGGACUUGCUAAGAAUGGUGGAAGAAGAAGAUAAACAUAUCCUACCUCAUGGGGAAUUAUUAGAAAUCAUGAGCCUAGAGGAUGGAAAAGAGGUGAAAAUUGGCACUGAAAUCACUGCAAAGACAAAACAAGACCUCAUUAAUUUGCUCCGAAAGUUCAAAGAUAUUUUCGCGUGGUCGUACCAAGAUAUGCCCGGGCUAAGCACUAACAUUGUUGUGCCUCGUCUACCCAUAAAAGAAGAUUGUAAACCCGUUCAGCAGAAGCUCAGGAGAAUGAGACCUGAUAUUGUGUUGAAAAUAAAAGAAGAACUCAAAAGGCAAUUCGACGCUGGAUUCUUACAAGAGGUCAAGUAUUCGGAUUGGGUAGCAAACAUCAUCCCUGUUCCCAAAAAAGAUAGAAAGGUACGAAUGUGUAUGGAUUAUAGGGAUUUGAACAAGGCGAGUCCAAAAUAUAAUUUUCCACUGCCUCACAUUGAUACCUUGGUAGAUAACACGGCGGGCUAUUCAUUGUUUUCUUUCAUGGAUGGCUUCUCCGGGUACAAUCAAAUAAAUAUGCAUCAUGAAGACAUGAGGAAAACCACAUUCAUUACCUUAUGGGGAACAUUUUGUUACAAGGUAAUGCCCUUCGGAUUGAAAAAUGCGGGAGCAACAUAUCAAAGAGCUAUGGUGACUUUGUUUCACGAUAUGAUGCACAAGGAGAUCGAAGUCUAUGUGGAUGAUAUGAUUGCGAAGUCUAGAACGGAAGAAGAGCACGUUCAAGUCUUGAAAAAGUUAUUUUUGAGAUUGAGGAAAUUUCAGCUCAAGCUUAACCCGGUAAAAUGCACAUUUGGAGCCAGAUCAGGGAAGUUAUUAGGCUUCAUAGUUAGCAAAAAAGGGAUUGAGGUUGACCCAGACAAAGUAAAAGCAAUACGAGAUUUACCUCCCUCGCGCACGUAGAAGGAAGUUCGAGGUUUCCUAGGGAGAUUGAAUUACAUUUCUCGAUUCAUCUCACAACUGACGGAGAAAUGUGAUCCGGUAUUCCGUCUCUUAAAGAAGCAUAAUCCGGGUGAAUGGGAUGAAGAAUGCCAGAGAGCUUUCGAUAAGAUAAAGCAGUACUUGGUUAAUACUCCAGUCUUAUCGCCACCAAGUCCAGAUAGGCCAUUUAUAUUAUAUCUAACAGUGUUGGAGAAUUCCAUGGGAUGCGUAUUAGGCCAACAUGAUGAGACGGGAAAGAAAGAAAAGGCAAUAUACUAUCUCAGCAAGAAAUUUACUGAUUGCGAAAUGAGAUACUCAUCAGUUGAAAAGUUGUGUUGCGCUUUAAUCUGGGCAACCCGAAGACUAAGGCAGUAUAUGUUGUAUCAUACGACUUGGCUGAUUUCAAAGUUGGAUCCUUUAAAGUAUAUGAUGGAAUCUACUGCUUUAAACGGGAGAAUGGCUAGAUGGCAGAUCCUGCUCUCGGAAUUUGACAUAGUAUAUGUAAGUCAGAAGGCCAUAAAGGGAAGUACGAUAGCUGACUUCUUAGCUAGUAGAGCCUUGGAAGACUACGAGUAUUUGAACUUCGACUUUCCAAAUGAGGACUUGAAGUAUGUGGCGAACACUGAAGAGAAUCCUCAAAUGGGUAGCGUAUGAAGGUUAAAUUUUGAUGGAGCUUCGAAUGCUACGGGUAAUGGAAUUGGGGCAAUCUUGGUAUCCUCAAAUGGAGAUCAUUAUCCUGUUGCUAGCAAGUUGGACUUCGAUUGUACUAAUAAUAUGGCAGAAUAUGAAGCAUGUAUUAUGGGCAUUUGUGCAGCCAUUGAACGAAACAUCAAAGUGCUAAGAGUAUAUGGGGAUUCUGCAUUGGUGAUAUACCAACUAAAAGGGGAAUGGGAAACUAGGGACCCUAAGCUAAUUGAUUAUAGAAAACUAGUUCUCAAAUUGGCUGGUGAGUUUGAUGAUAUCACCUUCUGUUAUCUCCCACGAGAGGAAAACCAAAUGGCUGACGCAUUAGCUACUCUAGCUUCGAUGAUUCAGGUGAAUAGACUCGAGGCAAUGAGGCCUAUUCAGAUGAGUAUCUAUGAGACCCCAGCUCAUUGCUGCAAUAUUGAAGAGGAGGGAAAAGAUGAUUGUCCUUGGUAUCAGAAUAUCCUACAGUACGUGAAGGAUCGGGAGUACCCCAAUCAAGCGACAGAGAAUGACAAAAGAACUCUGAGAAGAAUAGCCAUCGACUAUGUCCUAGAUGGGGAAGUGUUAUACAAAAGAAGGAAGGAUCAAGUAUUGUUAAGAUGUGUGGAUGCCGUGGAAGCCAAAAAAAUAUUGGAGGAAGUACAUGAGGGUAUUUGUGGGACGCACGCCAAUGGUUUUAUGAUGGCCAGACAAAUCAUGAGAUUUGGGUACUAUUGGCCCACCCUGGAAGGAGAUUGCAUAGAUUACGCCAAGAAAUGCCACAAAUGCCAAAUUUACAGAGACAAAAUACAUGCGCCUCCUUCACCUCUUCACGUCAUGACCUCUCCUUGGCUGUUUUCCAUGUGGGGUAUGGAUGUUAUUGGGCCAAUAUCACCAAAGGCUUCUAAUGGGCAUCGCUUCAUCUUUGUGGUUAUUGAUUACUUUACCAAAUGGGUAGAGGCUGCUUCAUACGCAAAUGUCACGAAGUCAGCAGUUAGCAAAUUCUUGAAGAAAGAGAUUAUUUGUCGAUAUGGAAUGCCUGAGAAAAUUAUAUCCGACAAUGCGUUAAAUUUGAAUAAUAGCACAAUAGCUGAGGUUUGCAGCCAAUUUAAAAUCAAACAUCAUAACUCAUCGCCAUAUCGUCCAAAAAUGAAUGGUGCAGUGGAGGCGGCUAAUAAGAACAUCAAAAGGAUCAUGGGGAAAAUGACUGAAACUUACAAGGAUUGGCAUUAGAAGUUAUCAUUUGCUCUCCUUGCCUAUCGAACAUCUGUUAGAACUUCUACCGGAGCAACACCUUUUUCUCUGGUAUAUGGAAUGGAGGCGAUAUUACCCAUUGAAGUUGAAAUCCCCUCUCUACGGGUACUAUCUGAUCUACAGUUGGACGAAGUCGAUUGGGUCCAAUCUCGGUACGAUCAGUUGAACCUAAUAGAAGAAAAGAGGCUUAGAGCUAUUCGUCAUGGGCAAAUGUACCAGAAACGAAUGAUGCGAGCCUAUAAUAAAAAGGUUUGCCCCAGAGAGUUUCGUGAAGGAGACUUGGUGCUAAAAAAGAUUCUCCCCGUGCAAAAGGAUUCGAGAGGAAAAUGGAUGCCAAAUUGGGAAGGUCCCUAUGUUGUAAAGAAGGCAUUUUCCGGUGGGGCUUUAAUCCUAUGUGAGAUGGAUGGCAAAAGUUUGCCAAACCCUGUAAACGCAGACUCCGUCAAGAAAUAUUUCACUUGAAAGAAAAGAGAACCAAAGUGAAAACCCGCAAAGGGCGCUUUGCUUCCAAAAAAAAAAAACUUUGGAGAGGCCAGGGUAAAAACCCGUAAAGGGCACCUUGAGGCCAAAGGGGGCUUAAGUCGAAAACCCGGAAAGGGUAGCUCAAGUAUUGAUCGAGUUGGGGCAUAAGGUGAUUUGAGCAUAUCAAAUUCUGAUAAGGGGCAUGUGAAGAUCUUGCUUUACCCGAACCAACAAGAAAUGAUAUGCGACGUCUUGGAUCAUUGACAGAGUAUUGCAGAUCUCCUAAACACAUGUCAAACUCCGAAUGGUCUUCAGAAAGUUUGUACAGAGAAAUUCAAGCUGCGAUAACUGGGGCACCUAGUUCUUAUUCUAUUUAUAUGUAUAUUCUUGAAAAUAUGUUUUUCUUUUUGCUAAGAUACACAUUCUCAAUCCACUUCUUUGUCGUCUUUCUUUCACUAUCUUCGAUGUUUUAUUUCUUUUUGAUUUAUGAUCAGAACCAGCUUUAUUCUUAUCCAUUGUUAUGACCUUUUUGCAAAUAUGUUGUAUGGACUAAUAAAACUUUCACAAAGGAAGUUUUACACAUUACUCUGGAAAGUUUCUAAAUAAUAAAGGAGCCUGAAGCAGGACUAUUGUUUAGAACGCACCAAAUUUAAAGGUUGGAAAUUUGGGAAGGAAUAGUCUAAAUUUAGAUUUUCUCUUUGGAUUUUUGUUGUCAAAUGCGUUGAUUGACAAAACGCCAUGUUGGUGACAAAGCUUACACAAACAAGCAAGCAAUGACCAUCAGGCAAUAGGAAGAGGUUACCUUAGAGAAGAGAGCCUUCAUUUGCACAUGAAUACGACACCUUGAGAAUGGUGUAAGAAACCAGAACGAUUUAGAUCCUGUAUCCUUGAUUUCUGAUAAGAUAGGAUUGAGAUGAAAGCCGCAUAUUUUUACCAUUGGAUUGCAGUGGGAUAAUGAUGGCACAAAUUGUGCGCCCAAAUGGAUUAAACUUUGAGGUUUACAGUAGGGACAACUUGGCUAAAUGUUUUAUCAGAAAAGCCAGUCAAGCAAAAAGGGUGCUGUAACACGUCGGUCACAAAGCUUUAAUAAACUUCGAGUAAUGACAACCUAAGCGAGAUCAUUCUCGGAAAUAUAAAAUUCUGCAUUCAUGCAAACACCAUUCACACAUAUCUAGUUAGGAGCAUUUGAUUCAUUUUUUAUCGUGCCAUCCUAAUCAUUAGGCAUAAUUAGGUUCAUUAUACAGGCCAUGUUCCCUAGAAAACAGACCGGUGAAUAUUAGAGAUCUUAUCUCCCUGAGAUUACGGUGGAGCAGAUCGUAUCAAGUCUUAUCUCCCUGAGACUACAGAGGAGCAGAUCGGAGCCACAAACCUUAUCUCCCUGAAGUUACAGUGGGGCAGGUUGAAUAUACAAGUCUUAUCUCCCUGAGGUUACAGUGGAGUAGACCGAAGAAUUUCAGGUCUUAUCUCCCUGAGGUUACAGUGGAGCAGAUUGAAGCCAGAAAUCUUAUCUUCCUGAGUUCACAGCGGAGCAGAUCGAAGACACUAUCCUAUCUCCCUGAAGUUACAGUGGAGUGGAUCUUAUCUCUCUGAAGUUACAGCAGAGUAGAUCGCAUCAGGUCUUAUCUCCCUGAGGUUACGGUGGAGUAGACCGAAGAAUUUCAGAUCUUAUCUCCCUGAGGUUAUAGUGGAGCAGAUUGAAGCCAGGGAUCUUAUCUCCCUGAGAUUACAGCAGAGUAGAUCGAAGACACUAUCCUAUCUCCCUGAAGUUACAGUGGAGCGGAUUAAAACAAAGAUAUUAUCUCUCUGAAGAUGUAGUAGAGCAGAUUGCAUCCAGUCUUAUCUCCCUGAAGUUACAGUGGAACAGACUAAAACCACAAACAUCGUCCCCCAGAAGUUGCGGCAAAGAAAAUUAAAGCUACAAGUCAGAUCUUUUUGAAAUGCAGUGGAGUGGAUUGAAGCAACAAGACACAAUGGACUGGAACGGAGUUAUUUGAAGAAAAGAAAUAGUAGAAGAAGUCAAGACUCGGUGAGACCGGGCAAAAUUGGCCUUUUUGAAGUCUUUGCUCUGUUCUCGUUACACGACAACGAGCAAAGAGGGGCAGCUGUACGGGCCCAAUUCUACCCUGACCUUAAACACAAAACACACAAUAAUAAACAAAAUUAAAACAAAAUCCGUAGCCCAAAUAAAAACACAACAGAGGCCCAAGAUGGCAAAACCCUAGCCCAAUUCAGCUCACAACCAGCAGCCUCAGUGCGCCGUACGUCUCCUCGCGCAUUUGCAGCGCACUCAACGCCCGAAGCACGACCAGUUUUGCACCAAAAAGGCUAGGUUUAUUCUUCCAAUACCCGUUGACUUCACCAGUACCUGCAAGCAAAGCAAAGAAAGGGGAACAACAGCAGCAACAGUAGCAAUAUUGGACAGAAAUGAUAAAAAUAAAAUAGGAAAUAGAUUUUUAGGAUUAUCUUUUGGCUAUAAAAGCCACCAAAUUCUGUAUUCAAAAAAAAAAGGGGAGCAGAUCAAAAAAAUUGAAAAGGUUGACUCCAAAUUUCUUUCUCUGUUCUUAAUAAUUUUUUUUAUAUAUUCUUCUAUUUUCUGUUUUUUUUACUACUCUUUGAAACUAAAAAAACAAAACGAAAAAGAAAGAAAAGGGACACUUACCGGUCUCGAAAGCCCGUCGCCGGAGACCAUCUUCGGUGUUGGAAUCGGACCGAGAAGGAGACGAAAAGUCUCUCAUUGUUUCGGCUUGUUUGGUCUGGAGGACCGGGCCUUAAGGUGGAGGUCGAGAACGGGGUUAAAAAGCCCUCCUUUUCUCGCUCCGACCACCGCUCGUGAAGGAGCUUUGGCCUUUGGAACCGCCGCUCGCUGGCGUGGGCCAUGUUUGGCUGCUGGGAACCUUGAAAGGGAGAGGAUAGGUUCAGUUUUUUUCUUUAAAACACUGAUAAAAUGAAGUUAUAAU